rnacentral:rRNA from 1 species
UACAGAGGGUGCGAGCGUUGUUCGGAAUUACUGGGCGUAAAGAGCAUGUAGGCGGUUUAGUAAGUCAGAUGUGAAAUCUCGGGGCUUAACCCCGAACGUGCAUUUGAAACUACUAGGCUCGAGUAUGGUAGAGGAUUGUGGAAUACCCAGUGUAGAGGUGAAAUUCGUAGAUAUUGGGUAGAACACCGGUGGCGAAGGCGGCAAUCUGGGCCAUAACUGACGCUGAGAUGCGAAAGCGUGGGGAGCAAACAGG